UACGUAGGGACCGAGCGUUGUCCGGAAUCAUUGGGCGUAAAGAGCGUGUAGGCGGCCACUUAAGUCCUGCGUGAAAUCUUGCGGCUCAACCGCAAGCGGUCGUGGGAAACUGGGUGGCUAGAGUGCGGGAGAGGAGAGUGGAAUUCCUGGUGUAGCGGUGGAAUGCGCAGAUAUCAGGAAGAACACCCGUGGCGAAGGCGGCUCUCUGGAACGCGACUGACGCUGAGACGCGAAAGCGUGGGGAGCAAACAGG
rnacentral:rRNA from 1 species